GGGAGUGGAUAGGGCCCGGUGGUCCUCGCCGUCUUCAAAACGGUCGCCUCGUCGCCAGCGCGGCGAGGGGUGGGUUCGACUCCCAUGCACUCCCGCCA
rnacentral:tRNA from 3 species